UUAGGUACCGUCAAGAUGUGCACAGUUACUUACACAUAUGUUCUUCCCUAAUAACAGAGUUUUACGAUCCGAAGACCUUCAUCACUCACGCGGCGUUGCUCCGUCAGGCUUUCGCCCAUUGCGGAAGAUUCCCUACUGCUGCCUCCCGUAGGAGUCUGGACCGUGUCUCAGUUCCAGUGUGGCCGAUCACCCUCUCAGGUCGGCUAUGCAUCGUUGCCUUGGUAAGCCGUUACCUUACCAACUAGCUAAUGCAGCGCGGAUCCAUCUAUAAGUGACAGCAAGACCGUCUUUCACUUUUGAACCAUGCGGUUCAAAAUAUUAUCCGGUAUUAGCUCCGGUUUCCCGAAGUUAUCCCAGUCUUAUAGGUAGGUUAUCCACGUGUUACUCACCCGUCCGCCGCUAACAUCAGAGAAGCAAGCUUCUCGUCCGUUCGCUCGACUUGCAUGUAUUAGGCACGCCGCCAGCGUUCAUCCUGAGCCAGGAUCAAACCCUU
rnacentral:rRNA from 1 species